CCACAGCUUCCUCCUUGCGCGCGCGCCAUAGAGCCGACGUCGCCGUUGGCCGGCGCCGCCUCCUCGCACGGCACUGCGCCUCCCUCUCAACCCUCCCUCCACACUUCAAAGAGCCACGCCGCCCAACGCCGCCGGGCCGCCAUCCCGCCGUGUCUACUUCUCACGCUCAUCCUUUCCGCCAUCAGGGAACUCUCCAAGAUGGCGAAGAAGCGGGGGAAGAGGAAGACGAUGCUGCGCCGGAAGGCGCCGCGACCUCCCUCUGUCGCGACAAAAGGAUAUACCACAGGAUCCAUUUAUUCUUCUACGGGAAUACUAAUAUUUGGUCUGGAAAUCAUUCAGUGAUAUUGUGUGGGUAUGUUGCGAUUGAUCAAUUUCAUAGCGGUAUGUUGGUUCUAGAUCUAUUUAGCUAUACAUUUCGUAGCAUUGAAGCUUGCUGCCUUUUUAGAACUAAUCUGGAACAAGACUUUGCUCGAAGAAACCUUUUGCUGAUCAUGAACUGCUCAGCAAAAUGGGUAUCAUAAGAUUCAACCA
rnacentral:lncRNA from 1 species